rnacentral:rRNA from 1 species
GAUGAACGCUAGCGGCAGGCUUAACACAUGCAAGUCGAGGGGUAUUUGGACUUCGGUUCAGAGAGACCGGCAAACGGGUGCGGAACACGUACACAACCUACCUUUAUCAGGGGGAUAGCCCAUAGAAAUGUGGAUUAAUACCCCACUAGUAUUAUGUGAUGGCAUCAUUAUAUAAUUAAAGAAUUUCGGUAUAGAGAUGGGUGUGCGUAAGAUUAGCUAGUUGGUAGGGUAACGGCCUACCAAGGCAACGAUCUUUAGCUGAUGUGAGAGCAUGAUCAGCCACACGGGCACUGAGACACGGGCCCGACUCCUACGGGAGGCAGCAGUGAGGAAUAUUGGUCAAUGGACGGAAGUCUGAACCAGCCAUGCCGCGUGAAGGAUGAAGGCGUUCUGCGUUGUAAACUUCUUUUAUCUGGGAAGAAACCACAGAUUUUCUAUUUGUGUUGACGGUACCAGAAGAAUAAGCACCGGCUAACUACGUGCCAGC